UACGUAGGGGGCAAGCGUUGUCCGGAAUUAUUGGGCGUAAAGAGCUCGUAGGCGGUCUGUUGCGUCCGCUGUGAAAACUCGGGGCUUAACCCCGAGCCUGCAGUGGAUACGGGCAGACUAGAGGUAGGUAGGGGAGAAUGGAAUUCCCGGUGUAGGCGGUGAAAUGCGCAGAUAUCGGGAGGAACACCGGUGGCGAAGGCGGUUCUCUGGGCCGUUACCUGACGCUGAGGAGCGAAAGCGUGGGGAGCGAACAGG
rnacentral:rRNA from 1 species